rnacentral:rRNA from 1 species
GACGAACGCUGGCGGCGUGCUUAACACAUGCAAGUCGAACGGAAAGGCCCUGCUUUUGUGGUGUUCUCGAGUGGCGAACGGGUGAGUAACACGUGAGUAACCUGCCCUUGACUUUGGGAUAACUUCAGGAAACUGGGGCUAAUACCCGAUAGGAGCUCCGGCUGCAUGGUGGGGGUUGGAAAGUUUCGGCGGUUGGGGAUGGACUGGCGGCUUAUCAGCUUGUUGGUGGGGGAGUGGCUUACCAAGGCUUUGACGGGUAGCCGGCCUGAGAGGGUGAACGGCGACAUGGGGACUGAGAGACGGCGCAGACGCCUACGGGAGGCAGCAGUGGGGAAUCUGGCACAAUGGGCGGGAGCCUGAUGCAGCAACGCCGCGUGCGUGAUGAAGGCCUUCGGGUUGUAAACCGCUUUCGCCUGUGACGAAGCGGGAGUGACGGUAAUGGGUAAAGAAGCACCGGCUAACUACGUG